GCGCCCGUAGCUCAGUUGGAUAGAGUUCCUGAUUCCGAGUCAGUAGGUCGCAGGUUCGAAUCCUGUCGGGCGCA
rnacentral:tRNA from 1 species